UACGAAGGGGGCAAGCGUUGUUCGGAAUUACUGGGCGUAAAGGGUGCGUAGGCGGUUCGUUAAGUCUGUCGUGAAAUCCCCGGGCUCAACCUGGGAAUGGCGAUGGAUACUGGCGAGCUAGAGUGUGUCAGAGGAUGGUGGAAUUCCCGGUGUAGCGGUGAAAUGCGUAGAGAUCGGGAGGAACAUCAGUGGCGAAGGCGGCCAUCUGGGACAACACUGACGCUGAAGCACGAAAGCGUGGGGAGCAAACAGG
rnacentral:rRNA from 1 species